GGGGAUGUUAUGGAUUCGACGGAUGGGAUCCGUACAGUAGACGGCGUGCCGAGCCUCCUGGCAAGCUCGUAGAAACUGCCUGGAACCUGUAACUGCGAACGAUUACUCGUACGCGAUGGCGGCGUAACCAUACCCGCUAUCUGUCUCUGGCCGCGCUCGUUCAUCGGCUGGCCUGAGGCAUCGACUUAGAUGAACUCGGCCCGCGGCAUUCCGGCUGCAUGUCGCGGGUGACGCCCGAUCAGCCUUUGCUCACUCCUGGCCUCGCCGAUCGGCCUCAGGGGUGAGUGAGCCUCAAUAGAUCGGCUACGCACGUAGAUGUCUACGUGUGCGCCCAUUCGGACCCGGGUUCGACUCCCGGCAUCUCCACCA
rfam:Rhodothermaceae bacterium RA, complete genome.